AUAAUAAUAAUAAUAAUUUGAGCGUAUCAUGACUCGGGUUAGUUGAUUGUUGACCAAAUAUGGUCUAAUUUGUUAAGUAUCCGAAUAAACUAUGCAUUAUUUGCUCUCAUCUUAUGAUUUAUAAGUUUAAGUUAAAGGCUUUGUGGCAUAUUGAAUCAUGGUAUCAAUACUUUGCCUUCUCAGACCUGCUCUUGUGAUUUGAUACAAAUCAUCUUUGAGAUAGACCGUUGCUAUCUAAUGAUCAUCAGUACAUGUUCAUUUUGUGAAUUACAUUUCUAGCCAUUUAAUGAUUUGACUCUAAGGUUGGCCAUUAUCCUUUGAGGGAUCAACACACUACCAUGAUAAGUGUAUGAGAUCUAUUUCAUUUCAAGUU
rnacentral:lncRNA from 1 species